rnacentral:misc_RNA from 1 species
UUGAAUACUAUUGAGCGCUGUGCUGGCCUCUCGGGGCAUGUGCACGCGUUCUUUAUUAUUAUCUAUCUCUUGUGAACCUAGUGUGGGCUUUGGAGGAACAGUCGACCUUUUGGGUCUUCUGGGAAUCAGAAGGUCAUUUUUAUAAACAUUUAGAAAAGUUAACAGAAUGUCUUCUUUACUUGACGCAAGUCAGUAAACAAACCUAUA